rnacentral:lncRNA from 1 species
CCAGAUAAGAGAAUAAAAGCAGGCUGCCCCAGCCAGCAGUGGCAACCCGCUGAGGUCAAGCUUCGUUUUUUUUGCUUUUUACAAUAAGUGUUGCUACUGCUCAGUCUUUGAGUCCACGCUACUUUUAUGAGCUGUAACACUCACUACAAAGGUCUGCAGCUUCACUCUUGAAGCCAGCGAGACCACUGAGCUCACCGGGAGGAACAAACAACUCCGGACGCACUGUCUUAAGAGCUAUAACACCGCCAAGGUCUGCAUCUUCACUUCUGAGCCAGCGAGACCACGAACCCACCAGAAGGAAGAAACUCGGAACACAUCUGAAUAUCAGAAGGAACAGACUCCAGACGCGCCACCUCAAGAGCUGUAACACUCACGGCGAGGGUCCGCGGCUUCAUUCUUGAGGGCAAAAUCUUUUUCCCUUGAAGACUGGAAAUAUUAUCCAUGUUGUCCUCCGGAAUAUUUUCAAUGACUUGUGCCCUGCCAGCUCUAGCUUUUGAAGGGUCUACACUCAUCAUCAACAGAUUCUGGGGGUUCAUGCACAGAUUUCUUACCUGGGUAUAUUGUGUGAUGCUGAGCUUUGGAGUUCAACUGAUUUCAUCACCCAGAAGAACAACCAGAGAAAGCCAAGUAUGCACCUGAUGCCCCACUUCCAGUGAGCCGCCUCCAGCUUCCCACGCCAACAGCUUCCAAUCAGCACACUUUCGGAGCCUUCCCUUUUCUCCACGAUGAAAGCUUCCCCACUCCUCUGACUGCCUUUGAGCCUCUGCCAAAACUCAAGUGAUGGUAGCCGACUCCCUGCUACCGCAAGCUUGGAAUAAAC